rnacentral:lncRNA from 1 species
GGCCUUUUCACCAGAGGACUUCCCCUUCGCAUCGUCAUGAUCGGUACUCUUACCGGUGCUCAGUGGGGAAUCUAUGACGCCUUCAAGGUCAUGGUGGGACUGUAAGUAUCUCAUCCUCUAUGCAAAUUCAUCUGGUAAACAACUUCUGAGGAAGUAGUAACAAUUGGUAAUCCAUUUUCUUCCAGCCCGACCACCGGCGGUGCUCCACCAGUUGCUCCGGUAGAGGAAGCAGCGAAAGCCAUCGCUUGAUUGAUUUUUCCUACUAUGACGAUGACGAUGUAUUCCGGGAUGAUGGGGUAUUGGUGGAUGGGGACUGUAUCAAUUACUUGAGUUUAGCACCCGAAAUCUUUUGUUAUUGUAGCAGAUGGUUAUUGUGUCAUCAUUUUGAUGAGAGGAACUCAUUAAGCAGGCGAAAUAGGCCUUUUUUUGUCCCCGGGAAGUUUGAUGCUUGACAUAAUAAGUUUUAGGACAGCAAGGCUGUUAGAGCGCAGGUUUUGCCAUCACCUGUACUGAGGAAUUCCCAUAUUAUACUCCUGUUUACCUCCAAUUCUAUGCUGUUGAUAUCGUGGCAUGUUCGUUUCUGAACGGGUAGAACGUUUAUUGUUUUACUAGUAGUAGUAGUUAUCUUCUCUUCGUGCUUGCAAAAUCAU